rnacentral:rRNA from 1 species
AAAAACAUGUCUUUAAGAUAGAUUUUAAAGUCCAAUCUGCUCACUGAUUUUUUAAAGAGCCGCAGUAUUUUGACUGUGCAAAGGUAGCAUAAUCAAUAGUCUUUUAAUUGGGGACUGGGAUGAAAGAUUAGACAAGAAAUUAACUUUCUUUAUUUUAGUAAGUUUAAUUUAAAAUUUAAGUAAAAAUUCUUAAAUGCUAUUAAAAGACGAGAAGACCCUAUAGAUUUUUAUUAAUAUUUGGUGUUAUUAAAAUUAAAUAUUAAAUAUUAAUUUAAUUGGGGCGAUGUUGUAAAAUGAUUAACUUAAUUUUGUUAGACCAUAUAUUAUUGAAGCUUUUGAUCUAAAAAUUUUAAUUGAAAGAUAAAUUACCUUAGGGAUAACAGCGUAAUUUUUUUUAAGAGUUCAUAUCUAUAAAAAAGUUUGCGACCUCGAUGUUGAAUUAAGAAAAAUGUUGGAGUAGAAGCUAACAUUAUUUAGUCUGUUCGACUAUUUAAUUCUUACGUGAUCU